CCUACGGGCGGCAGCAGUGGGGAAUAUUGCACAAUGGGGGAAACCCUGAUGCAGCGACGCCGCGUGAGUGAAGAAGUAUUUCGGUAUGUAAAGCUCUAUCAGCAGGGAAGAAAUAGCGACCUUUGGGUCGCCAGACGGUACCUGACUAAGAAGCCCCGGCUAACUACGUGCCAGCAGCCGCGGGAAUACGUAGGGGGCAAGCGUUAUCCGGAUUUACUGGGUGUAAAGGGAGCGUAGACGGCAGCACAUGUCUGAAGUGAAAUGCCGGGGCUUAACCCCGGAACUGCUUUGGAAACUGGGCAGCUAGAGUGCAGGAGAGGUAAGUGGAAUUCCUGGUGUAGCGGUGAAAUGCGUAGAUAUUAGGAGGAACACCAGUGGCGAAGGCGGCUUACUGGACUGUAACUGACGUUGAGGCUCGAAAGCGUGGGGAGCAAACAGGAUUAGAUACCCCAGUAGUC
rnacentral:rRNA from 1 species